GUUAUGAUCUCUGACUGUCUAAAUUUUCUCUCUCGUACAAAUGAGAGGAUUCGAACUGCUCUCUCUCUCUCUCUCUCUNNNNNNNNNNNNNNNNNNNNACACACUGAAAUUCUAACCAGCCCGAGUACAUGAUAUCAAAUCAUUCAAUUCAAUUUGACAAACGGAUUAGUUAUAAUAAAAACCAAAACCCACGUUUUUCUGCCUCGCGAAUCAAUCCCGACCUUUACACGCGUCUCAUCCGUCUUCACUGAAAGCUCGGCUGGAGAGCUCUCAUUUUGAAGCUGACGACCUCUAUUAUAACGCACACAGAUUGUAUUUUAACGAUUCGGGAUUCCUCCACCCGUCGCCGAGAGCAGAGUAACGGUAAUCGGUGUCUUUCAGCACCUUCCUCCGAGCAGAGAGAGGGAGGGAGGUGUUGAAUUCGCUCAGGAAGACGAGGGCUGAACGGGUAGUUUACAGAAAAGUGUUGCUACCGCCGCACGGCAAACAGAACCGGGUCUAACCGCUACUCGACUUCACAAUGGAGAUUCACCGGAGGAAAUUCCCUCGCUGCGGAAACGGAAACAUCUGGAGCGUGUCCGUUACAACGGGAGAUGAAGAUGUUUGGGCGCGAGCGCUCGUGAUUUAUUAACGAUGUAAAUAGUCUAUGGGGGAGUCUGUCUGUCUGUCUGGGUGGGGAGGCGGACACGUUUUAUGUCUGGAGAAGAGAGAGACAACCUUGUUCCGCGCUGACGGCUCCGUGGGAAACCCCUCUAUCUAACCUGGGCAGUAACGCAUGACGGACCGACCGACAGACCGACCGACAGACAGACAGACAGACCGACCGACAGACCGACCGACCGACAGACAGACAGACAGACAGUGCAUUGGUUCUGUCUUCCACGCUAGCCAGAGGAGGCACAGAGAGGAGGCACAGAGAGGAGACACAGAGAGGAGGCACAGAGAGGAGACAUCAUAUCUUCAUCUCUCCAAGUUGCUCAGCAGCUCCGUGAAGCACAAUGCCCUCGCAGGAGCGGAUAUGCAGAAGCGUUGUGUAGGAGACUCGGGAAAAAGGGCGUUUGAAUUAAGUACUUCUCCACUCCCCAGU
rnacentral:lncRNA from 8 species